UCAGAGAUUUGCCAAUAAAAACAUAUUGGCUGUGACCCGAUACUCCGUUUAGUCGAACAGCCAUGAACGUGAUUACUUUCCGAACAUCUAGUUACCACUUUCCGAGCCUAUGAUAGAAUAAUUUGCAGAAAUGUAUGCUGAUGGCAUAUAUAGUUGAUCUGUGGCUGGCAUUUCACUUUAAUGAUUGUAAAUUGUCAUGUGAUCGAUAGGGAAACAUCCACAUUCUGUCAAUUUGUGGUUGAGUUUUUUAUAGUUAUCUGUUAAAAAUAAAAAAACGCUAGUUUUGCGUUUGAUUCCAAUGAUAUGGAUCGACCUGGUCAAACAGGAUAUAUGGUACUAAAUGAAGAUGGAGCAGUAUUAUCUUCGUCGGGAGAGCUGGAAAAUGAUGAGAAAUUCGCAAAUUCCAUAAUGGGACUACUAAAUCUUUCUUCACACAUAGAUUUGAAUAAUUCACCCAAAGACGGAUUUAAGAAACUCUCAAUUACAUACGAAGAUCAUUGCUACUUGAUUUGCUUGUCUAAUAGAAAAUUCCACAUAGUCAAGAAAAAAUUGCCACAUUUUUGAAGUGAAUUAAAUUAAAAUAUCUCCAAAUGAAUGUUAUAUUAUACUUAACCAAAAUGAAAUUUAUGCAGAUGAUUAUUUUACUUGGUGGUAUUUGUUUUUCUUUAUACCAAUUGUAUAAUCUGUUGCAUAAUUUUUAAGUGUGAAUGUUAAUAUUUGAUUCAGUUGUCUUGAAACUUAUAAAAAUGAAAUAAUCUACAAUACAGUAUAGGAACAAUAUAGCAAAAUUCAGAAGCUGCAUGACAUAUUUUAUGUAGAAAAUACAAACAUAUUAAGACUGUUACAAAAAUAUAAAUGUUAUUUAUGAAUUUUUAUAAUUCAGAAACUCAAUAUGUACAUUUAUUUAUUCCAUAGAAGCAUAAUAUAUGUUUAUAAAAAUUUGGUAAAAUGUAAUAUAUUGUAUUAAACAAUUAUCAAUUGUAAUCACCACAUUAUUUUAUAUCCGCAUGUAGAAAUGUGCAUUCCAAAUAGUUUUGAUAUUGUACACUUUAAAAUAUAUGUAUUAUAAAUUA